UACGUAGGGGGCAAGCGUUGUCCGGAUUUAUUGGGCGUAAAGAGCGUGUAGGCGGCUUUACAGGUCCGUUGUGAAAACUCGAGGCUCAACCUCGAGACGCCGGUGGAAACCGUAAGGCUAGAGUCCGGAAGAGGAGACUGGAAUUCAUGGUGUAGCAGUGAAAUGCGUAGAGAUCAUGAGGAAGACCAGUGGCGAAGGCGGGUCUCUGGACAGUUCCUGACACUGAGACACGAAGGCCAGGGGAGCAAACGGG
rnacentral:rRNA from 1 species